rnacentral:lncRNA from 1 species
GAAGAAGAACAAAACCCUAGCUAAAAAAGUCAAGGGAAAAUCACUAGAUUUCAAGGAAUCAAGACAUCAAAGGUGAAAUUUCUUAACUCUAGCUUGUGAUCUAUCUUUCCUAUGCAUUCUUUUGCAUUUUCCAUGGUUGAAUCACAAGAUAUCAUGAAGGAUUCAUGGCUGACCGAAUUUAGAGAGAGAAGAUUUGAUGAUUUAUUUGGUUAGAUUUUGAGAUAUUUUAGUGUUUUUAGUUAAUUUAUCAUGUUUGGAAGGAAAACAAGUA